GAUGAACGCUGGCGGCGUGCCUAAUACAUGCGAGUCGAGCGAACAGACGAGGAGCUUGCUCCUCUGGCGUUAGCGGCGGACGGGUGAGUAACACGUGGAUAACCUACCUAUAAGACUGGGAUAACUUCGGGAAACCGGAGCUAAUACCGGAUAAUAUAUUGAACCGCAUGGUUCAAUAGUGAAAGACGGUUUUGCUGUCACUUAUAGAUGGAUCCGCGCCGCAUUAGCUAGUUGGUAAGGUAACGGCUUACCAAGGCAACGAUGCGUAGCCGACCUGAGAGGGUGAUCGGCCACACUGGAACUGAGACACGGUCCAGACUCCUACGGGAGGCAGCAGUAGGGAAUCUUCCGCAAUGGGCGAAAGCUUGACGGAGCAACGCCGCGUGAGUGAUGAAGGUCUUCGGAUCGUAAAACUCUGUUAUUAGGGAAGAACAAAUGUGUAAGUAACUAUGCACGUCUUGACGGUACCUAAUCAGAAAGCCACGGCUAACUACGUG
rnacentral:rRNA from 1 species